rnacentral:rRNA from 1 species
UAGCGGGAGGGCUAACACAUGCAAGCCGAGCGGUAUUGUUUCUUCGGAAAUGAGAGAGCGGCGUACGGGUGCGGAACACGUGUGCAACCUGCCUUUAUCUGGGGGAUAGCCUUUCGAAAGGAAGAUUAAUACUCCAUAACAUAUUGAACGGCAUCGUUUGAUAUUGAAAGCUCCGGCGGAUAGAGAUGGGCACGCGCAAGAUUAGCUAGUUGGUGAGGUAACGGCUCACCAAGGCGAUGAUCUUUAGGGGGGCUGAGAGGGUGAUCCCCCACACUGGUACUGAGACACGGACCAGACUCCUACGGGAGGCAGCAGUGAGGAAUAUUGGUCAAUGGGUGCAAGNCUGAACCAGCCAUCCCGCGUGAAGGACGACUGCCCUAUGGGUUGUAAACUUC